UACGUAGGGUGCAAGCGUUAAUCGGAAUUACUGGGCGUAAAGCGUGCGCAGGCGGUUCGCUAAGACAGAUGUGAAAAUCCCCGGGCUUAACCUGGGAACUGCAUUUGUGACUGGCGGGCUAGAGUAUGGCAGAGGGGGGUAGAAUUCCACGUGUAGCAGUGAAAUGCGUAGAGAUGUGGAGGAAUACCGAUGGCGAAGGCAGCCCCCUGGGCCAAUACUGACGCUCAUGCACGAAAGCGUGGGGAGCAAACAGG
rnacentral:rRNA from 1 species